AUGCUCACAACAGCAACACAUAGAAGAAAAUUGGAAUGAUGCAGAGAAGAUUAGCAUGGCCCCUUUGCAAGGGUGACAUCCAAAAUCAUGAAGUAUUCCAUGUUUUU
ensembl:snRNA U6 U6 spliceosomal RNA